UACGGGGGGGGCAAGCGUUGUUCGGAAUUACUGGGCGUAAAGGGCUCGUAGGCGGCCAACUAAGUCAGACGUGAAAUCCCUCGGCUUAACCGGGGAACUGCGUCUGAUACUGGAUGGCUUGAGGUUGGGAGAGGGAUGCGGAAUUCCAGGUGUAGCGGUGAAAUGCGUAGAUAUCUGGAGGAACACCGGUGGCGAAGGCGCAUCCUGGACCGAAUUCUGACACUGAGGAGC
rnacentral:rRNA from 1 species